UACAUAAAAUGAAAAGCAUUAAAAUUGUUCAUUAUACUUGUAUUUUAACGAACUGAAAUACAUUUGGCUUAAACAAAAUUCCAAAUUCCAAUUAACGUUGUAUAUUUUUGAGAAUGUCGUUCCUUGUGCGCCGCAAUAACCCCCAUAUGGUGUACAAUGCAGCAAAAUCGAUUGUGGGGCAUCGUAUGUAUGGAAGGUUCCCCAGGCAUCAUGAGAAUUCCACGAUUGAUCAUGCGGAUUCGGUAUGCAGAGCACACGACUAUACCAUGGACUAUAUCAAGAACAAAAGCCGCAAUAAUACGGAACCUGAUCGCAAAACUUCCGACCCUCACAGUUUAAAGAAAAACCUACAUCCAUUUCUCAGGCAUUCGCUGAAUGAUGAAUUUAAAUCGCAUAAUGCAAAAUAUCGUUGGUCAGAAUUUAGAAGAAAGAUGAUCUAUGGCAACUUCGCGAUGUAGCCUCAAAAUAGCAUAUUGCAAUAUUUCUUAGUUGAUCCAGUAUAGCUGCAUAUUCCGAACGGAUGUGGUUUUGUCCAAUGCCCAUUUUGAUAUUAUCGAAGUGAGUCUUGGACAAAAUCACAAACAAUCCAAUUCAAAUAAAGCAAAAAGAGCAGGGGAACCCAUGUUCCGAGUGCACUGUUUCAUAUGGAAGGUCAUACUCAACGUUUAAAAAUGUUUUCCAAAUUAAUUUGUUUCAUGUGUUUAUAUUGACUAAAUCGUUAUUUAUUUUUUUAUGGAAAAUAUUAUUAAGGUAUCUAAACAAUUGGUCAAUAAAAAUACAUAUAUAGACUCGGACCAUAUAAAGUCAUAAGACAUGUAGUAGGUAACGGCAGCCUGCAGCCUGGGCUAUGUCAUAUAAAGACUGUUUAGUGGAGCUGACCAGACGCGGAUAGUGUCAAGGAUUAGCCGGUGAACAGGGUAUGUUCUGUGACUACUCGGCUUUCAACGCAGGAUGCAGCUGCUUGACGGUCUUCUUGCAUGCUAGAUCCCAUAUGAAACACAUAUAAAAAUCCCAAAUGAAGCACAUAUAUAAGUAAAGGGCUUGAAGCUUUUUGAAAAUUGGUAUCUUAUAUUUAUCAUUGGUUACCGGCGGAGCUUGAACAUAAAACCAAAAGGGCAAACAAGCAUUUUUCCAUGUUUUUAUUGAUGUGAACGGAUUUAAUUGGCCUACUACGUGGACAACAAAGCGACGCUAAUUUCUGACCACACAUUGUGGCCGAUAAAUAAAAAUAAAACCAAAACGUUUGCCAAGGCAGAAAAAGUGUUAUAUACAUGUGUUCCCAUCAAAUAAAUCUCAUCAAGCUCGCCAACAUGUGGAGAAUAAUUCGACGAGCUACACUUUAUGCCAUAUAACCAGGAUAACCAAUGUUUUUUCAGAUAUCGUCAUGCAAUUUUGGCAAGAUCCAUAAUUUGAUCGGACUAAUCAUAUAGCUGCCAUAGGAACAAUCGGUACAAAAGAAAGUUAUUCUACAAAAUUUUUCAAUAUCAAGAUACCUUUUUCAAACUUAUCAUUGAUUAGUUUUACUAUGCUCCCUACAUAAAACACAUAACUCAUCAACAUCAGACUUCUAUAUCAUAGAAAUAAGAUUUUUUAUGAACAAAUUUUCAGUUUUAAUCUUUUCUUCUUGAGUGCUGUGUCAAUAAGAGUAUCUAAUAUUUACCGAGAUCCUAUCUUAUUGAUGUAUUGAUAUAUCUAAAAUCUGCAAUGUUAUCCUUAACAUAUUUUUUAGAUAGCUGUAAGCAUAAGAAUGUUGAUAAUGAAAUGGAGCAAUGCCUCCGCUUUAAAUGUAUUGCCUCUAUUUGAAUGUUAAAUGUAAUUCGAUCUGGAUUCGAUUACGAGCAAAGGAACGAGUCGAGUAUACGUAAAAAUAAAAACCAAAUAUUUAUUUGGCGGCAAGGGGAUAUGCAAAAAUAGCAGCAACCGCAUAGACAGUGACUGGCAGACGAUUUGUAUUGCCUUUAAGCCUAAAAGCAUGCUUCAUAUGUUAUGGCAAACGUUUAAUUAUUUAUUUGAAAGGAAGACGACAGCAGACGGCAAAGCAGCAAAAAGGCAAAAAAAUACAAAAAUAA